ensembl:processed_transcript predicted gene 15503
UCCAGCCAUCUGUGUGCCAAUGCUGCGUGCAUCUUCGAAGACAGGCUUUUACUGAAGUCAGAAACCACCCAGAACAGCACAGAUGGAAAUGAAACUGUCUGCUGUCUGUGUGCUCCCAGCUUAGUCUUACAGGGCUUCUACCCUGACUUCCCCAGCAUGGAAUUCACCCCAAGUUUCUGUCUUUACCUAAACUGUAACAAUGUAAUUGUUAUUGGUCAGUCUCCUGUUCCUUGACCCCACCCCUACCCCUUCUCUCCCUCUCUCCAGGAUCUCACCACGUAACUCUGGCUGAAUUCUCUGUAUAAACUAGGCUGGCCUUGGACUCAGAGAUGCGCCUGCCUCUGCCCCGCAAACACUGGGACUAAAGGUGUGCACAGCCACACCCUGCUGUUCUUAGCCUCUUCAAAGCUGCUCCUUUCUGACCUCUCAAUGUAAAGAUGAGCAGAAAUCAAAGUUAAACAGUCAUAGAACCCCGUGAGAAAGGACAGGUCCCCUGGUGCCAGACCACCGGCCACGGACCGAGACUUUCUUUCUUUGCAAGUCUCACAUCUCAGCGUCCUCACCUGGAAAACGGGGACGUAAUAAAUGUCACACGAGAGUGCUUUCAACCCACAGCAAAGUGUGGCCCACAACCUCACACCUGGAGGACAAAUUGUAAGUAGUUUUGUCAUCAGCUGAAGAUAAAUUUACUGAAAAAAUUAGGCCCAGGCAUGCAAAAAAGAAAUUUCGGAGAGCUAGAAGAACAAAGCAACACAAAACAAAGAAAAAAACAAAAACAAAACAAAAAACCCCCCCAAAACAACAACAACAACAAAAAAAAAACUGGCCAGGCAACAGUAGAACCCCCUUUCUUCGUCAUAACAUUUUAGAGUUGAAAUAAACAAGCAAAAUAUAAGCAGACAAAAUUGAGACAAACUAAUACCACUCCAAAUUGCUGCUUCUAGCCUGAGAAAUCUUAAAGCUGCUAAGAAAACAUGUUUAGUGUAUUUUUUUUUCCACCUGGGCAUUUUAAGCCUGCUUUCUUGCCUAUUCACCCAAAAUGGAAACUUGUCGAUGAAAAUGGAUGGGUAGGACUGGAGAGCUGGCUCAGGCAGUGAAGUGCUUGCCCUGAAUGUGAGAGGACCUGAGUCUGCUCCCCAGGCCCAGGCAGAAGAAGCCAGUUCACUUUGUGAUUGUAACCCCAGGGCUGGGGAAGCCAGGCCAGGAGGAUCCCUGGGUCUCCGGGCCAGUCAGCCUGGCAGAACCAGCGGAUAAAAGUGAGAAAUUCAGACUAAAAAGCCAAGGUGGAGAGGGGCUGAGAAAGACCUCGGGAACUGACCUCUGGCCUAUACAUGCAUAUGUGUAUGCACACACACAGGUAGCCAUGCACAAGAAUGACAAAAUAUCUGAAUUUGGGAGACUCUUGGAUAAGGUUUGGGCAGCUGUGAAAUCUUGGUUUUUUUUUUUUUAAUGUUUUAAUUGUCAUUAUUAGUACUAAUUAUGGUAGCAUUUUGAGAGGGUCUCCACAUAUAGCCCUGACUGGUCACAAGCUCCCCACGUGGACUGGCCUGGCCUUGAACUCUCAGGAUCCUCCUGAUACAGCCUCCAUGUAUGGGAUUACAGAUGUGUGCAGAUGUGUACAGAUGUUUUUAUGUUUUGAAGUAAGCUUGCUUGCUAUUGAUAAAAGCUAUUCUUUCUCUUUCAUGUUACUAGGUAAAAUAUCAUGUUUAACGUGAACUGAGAUAGCCUAGGAUCCCUUGGUCUAUAUAUAAAAAAAAAUAAAAUUUUCUGAGCAGGGGACACUGAGUCACAGCUGUGCUGUGCGACUUCUAGGGUGAUGCCAGAUGGAACAGGCUGGUGAUCUGUUUCAUGGGAGUCUAGAGAUGAUGGGCUGCUGCGACCUGGGUGAGGUUGACUGUGUCUCAAAGCUCCUGUGUUAAAAUGCAGUUUCCAUUGUGAGGUAUUAGAGUUGGGGCCUUUGAGAGCUAAAUCAAUAAGCCAAAACAAACCUCUUGCUUUAUAAAGUAGCUUGCCUCAUGUAUGUUGUUAUAG